AUCUUAAGUCUCAUUGGCUCUGAGUGGGUCCCAGGCACACUGCUGAGCCAAUCGCGGUGACUGCGGAAGUGCAACUGAUUGGCUUAGGCCUGGGUCACAUGCUUCUUCCUCAGCGCUCUUCCCAGACCGGCGGGCAGCUUCCUUACCUUCGCGUGGGGUUCCCUGCUGCCACCGUGCCCCGGUACCUCCUUCCGGUUUUCCAGGACCGUCGCGUCUCUGCUGCCCAGGGCUGUGAGGUGCAAUCCCCUGGCUGCCUGGGCGGAGAACGGGCUACGCAUCCCAGUGGCCUGAGAAGUUGGUAUUCUCACUUGGCCUCUGAGUUUGGCAGCAUCUUCGUAUAUGAGGCUAAGCAGGGAGCAAGUUCAUGGACAGGAGCAAGAAGCGGGGUGGGCACAACCUUAUUGGGACAGCCUUCCUGCCUUGGCGGCUGCUAAAUCCUAAGCUGGAGCAUCAGUGACCUCUGCUGGCAAGACUUUCCCUCUCGUCUGCACAAAGCUCCUUCACAGCUCACUCCAGGAACGCUCUGGUUCUACCACGAAUAAUGCUGUGCUCUUAACCACCAUGGCUUUGCAAUGAGAGGGUGUGCUAUGCGACUGGGCUUCAGUCCCUUCUGCCUGUCUCAGCAGACUUUGGAACUCAGCUGCCUGGGACGAACUCUGCUUCUCCACAUCCCGGCUGUCUGACCUUGGCUUUUAGAUGAAGAAGACAGUAAUCACGGCCACCACAACACGACGAUGGUGAGAGACAAAUAGGAAAAUAGUUGUGGAAGAGCUUUGAAGGCCUCCUCCAUUUGUGUGUGUCUAUCAGACACUGAAGUCCAUAUUUCCUUAAAUUAAACCCAGGCUUUAUAGUCCUUGGCUACAACCAAGUCUCUUGCUGAUACCCUCAACUCCCUUGCCUCCUCGUCCUUUGUUCUACUGCAUAUGGUGGAAUCCUGGUCUCCUACCUUUCUCUUUCUUCUCUCCUUUUAUAG